UGCUGCAGAGCCCUCUGGGAGUUGUAGUUUCAGAUGGCGGCGCUUUCACAGAAGCGGUGGACUGUGUUUUCCUAGGACUCCAUCCCCCGCCAUCCCCCGCGGCCUAAGCCGUUGCCUCUUCCUGUUUAGAGGACUAUUCUCUCUAAGCCGCUGCCAACUGAGAGGUCUGUGAAAGGGUCUUCGCCUCCUGCUCUGGUUUUCCGACGUAGAGGGAUUGGCCUGCUGAGGACUGGCUGCCCCAGUGCCUGGAAUCUGAGGGAAAAUGGCAAGUGUGGAUGGUGAUUCCAGGCAUCUUCUCUCUGAGGUGGAACAUGAAGUAAGCCCUGGGCCUAUGAACAUCCAGUUUGAUUCAUCAGAUCUGAGAUCUAAAAGGCACUCAACAUCUCGAUGAAAACGGUUGGAAAAGAAAAGCUUUCAAAGCCAUUCUGUUCUCAGAGUACCCAAGCCAACUAAACUGGUACAGUUAACGCGCCAGCCAGAGGCAGGAGCCAAGGCCUAACACUUCCCGGACUGCUUUGCAGCAGACCUUCAAACCAACCUAGUGGUUAGAUGUUAAUGCCGUUGAAUUCCAGAGUAAACAGUGACAAGAAGACCAUCUAUACCUCUUUCUAUCAAUAUUAGUCCUUUAGUAGCCCAAGUAUCUGCCUAAAGUUAACAUUCUUGAGUUUUGUGGGGCACUGAUCCUGCUGGAAAAUCCUGUAGAGUGUGAGCUUCCUAACGUAGUAGUAUCUCUGAGAUGCCUGUGUGCAUGCGUGUGCAUGCACGCGUGUGCAUGCGUGUUUUGGAGGCUAGAGUCAGUGCUGACUGAAUAUCUUCCUCCACUGCCCUCCGCCUUAUCUCUUGAGACCCUGGAGCUCAUCAGCUUGCCUAGAUGGGCUAGGGCUAGCCAGUGGGCUCCGGUGCUUCAUCCGUUUCUACCUCCUCCCCAGAGCUGGGGUUAAAGCCGUGUCCCUGUGCUUGCCUGUGUGUCCUGCAGAUCUAAUUGCAGUUCCUCAUACUGUGCAGCAAGCACUUUACUAACUGGACCAUCGCCCUAGCCCUCAGAUAUCAAUAUUUGUUCAUCACCUUUAAGAAUCACUAUCAUGGUAGAAGUAGAAAUAAUACAUCAUAUCGUAACACUUUUGAGAGAUUGGUGGUUAUAUUAGGCUGCCAAAUAUAUAUGUAGUGAUUGUUUAGCCUCUGGCCCACUCAUUUUUACUAUAUCCCCCUUAUAAUUUAUUAAUAGCACUUAAUGCAUUUGCCAGUAUGUUUGAUAUGCUAUGUUGAUCUCUCUGCCCAUGGCUUUACUUUUAUAAAUGCUCUUGUUACUAUUCAUGAAAUUGACUAGUUGAUACCUACUAUAUUUGAAUGUUGUCAUGGAGAAUAAAUAGCAAGUGACUCAAAUGUUCUGUAUGUCAGUUAGAAGGCUAAACUCAACUACCGUUUCUUAGGUAUCAGAGUUUGUUAGAAAAGUAGCAGAAAUGAAACUUUCUUGGGGGUUUGUUUUCUUUUGUUUUCCCAUUGUUUUUACCAAUGUGUAAGAGUAACAGCCACAGUUUGGGGCACAGCGCUGUUUCCUGCUUCUAAGAGGCUGAGACUUGGCGGAGCCAUGCGAUUCUCCCUUGUCUCUCCAUUUUGGAGUGCUCGUUCUGGGAAAGUUAGAAAACACCUGAGGGAGGUUCAGAUGGCGCUGAAGGGCUGACUGGAGAUGAUGGUUGAAAGCUAGAGUCUGCAGUUCAUCAGGACAUAGUGAGGAAGGACACGAACAUAAAUAUUAGGACAUUAGAGUACGUUACCAGGAUCCAAGGAAAGUCCAUGAGGCAAAGCUCUCCGGUGCUGCCAUGUUCCAUUUGACCCAGUUUGGAUCCCCACACAAAGAGAGAGGUUGAGGUCACUGGUCCUUAGGACAUGAUGUUUGUCAAAGGAAAUGACUUUGGCCUAUAGAGGAAGGAGUGGAGUGCCCUCUUCAGUAAAAGGACAUUCGGUCUAUAAUUUCUCUGAUUCAGUGCCAGAGUAUUUUAAAAAACUAAUCAAAGCAGUUUCUCUCUCACUUAAAUCGUUGGAGACCCACAGCUGAUACAUUUUGUUUUCCUUUGCAAAUUUCUCUUUAAUGACUUCUCUAGUGUUUUCUGCUGUCUCUCCUCUGUUGGUAAAUUUCCUUAAGCUUCAAGAGUGUUUAAAGUAAAAGUAAGUAUCAUGAGACAAGAACUGUAUUUUAUGGGUAGGAUAAUGCUUCUCCUGUGACGUUUUCUUUUCCCACCAAAAGUGAGAAGCGCAUGCCUUUCCUUGGUGCGCCCGCCCGCUUCACAUGGAGGACAGGAGAUUAUUCUCUACAAUGGCUGACUUCCAGAAUUCUUGCCUGAAUGUUUUUUGUCAAGUAUAUAUUCCCUUCUUUAGGCCUUUCUAUAUAGAGCCUACCAACAUUGUCAAUGUGAAUGAUGUCAUUCAGAGGGUUAGUGACCAUGCUGCUGCUAUGAACAAGCGGAUUCAUUACUACAGCCGGCUCACCACUCCUGCAGACAAGGCACUGAUUGCUCCAGACCAUGUCGUCCCUGCUCCAGAGGAAUGCUAUGUGUAUAGUCCAUUGGGCUCUGCCUAUAAACUCAAGAGUUACACUGAAGGCUAUGGUAAAAACACCAGCUUAGUUACUAUUUUUAUGAUUUGGAAUACCAUGAUGGGAACAUCUAUACUAAGUAUUCCUUGGGGCAUAAAACAGGCUGGAUUUACCACUGGGAUGUGUGUCAUCGUGCUGAUGGGCCUUCUAACACUUUACUGCUGCUAUAGAGUGGUGAAGUCACGGAGUACGAUAAGUACAUCGGACACGAGUACCUGGGAAUAUCCAGAUGUCUGCAAACAUUAUUUUGGCUCCUUUGGGCAAUGGUCAAGUCUCCUUUUCUCCUUGGUGUCGCUCAUUGGAGCAAUGAUAGUUUAUUGGGUGCUUAUGUCUAAUUUUCUUUUUAAUACUGGAAAGUUUAUUUUUAAUUUUAUUCAUCACAUUAAUGACACAGACACUGUACUGAGCACCAAUAAUAGCAACCCUGUGAUAUGUCCAAAUGCUGGCAGUGGUGGCCGUCCUGACAACAGUUCCAUGAUUUUCUACAACAACAACACAGAAGUGCAGCUGUUUGAGAAGUGGUGGGACAAGUCCAGGACAGUGCCCUUCUACCUUAUAGGGCUCCUCUUGCCGCUGCUCAACUUCAAGUCUCCUUCAUUCUUCUCCAAAUUUAAUAUCCUGGGAACGGUGUCUGUCCUCUAUUUGAUUUUCGUUGUUACCCUGAAGGCUGUUCGCUUAGGAUUCCAUCUGGAAUUUCACUGGUUUGUGCCAACAGAAUUUUUUGUACCAGAGAUAAGAGCUCAGUUUCCGCAGCUGAUGGGGGUGCUUACUCUGGCCUUCUUUAUUCACAACUGCAUCAUCACACUCUUGAAAAACAACAAGAACCAAGAAAAUAAUGUGAGUGGCUAACUCGGAAGCUGCCUCCGUAUUUCGUGAGAGACCUAUGCAUUGCUUAUAUGCUGGUGACAUUGACUUAUCUCUAUAUUGGUAUCCUGGUUUUUGCCUCAUUCCCUUCGCCUCCAUUACCCAAAGAUUGUAUUGAACAGAACUUCUUAGACAACUUCCCCAGCAGUGACAUCCUGUCCUUCAUUGCAAGGAUAUUCCUGCUGUUCCAGAUGAUGACUGUAUAUCCGCUCUUAGGCUACUUGGCUCGUGUCCAGCUCUUGGGCCAUAUCUUCGGUGACAUUUAUCCUAGCAUUUUCCAUGUGCUGAUUCUUAACUUAGUUAUUGUGGGAGCUGGAGUGACCAUGGCCUGUUUCUACCCAAACAUAGGAGGGAUCAUAAGGUAUUCGGGAGCAGCAUGCGGCCUGGCUUUCGUGUUCAUAUACCCGUCUCUCAUCUAUAUAAUCUCCCUUCACCAAGAGGAGCGUCUGACAUGGCCUAAGUUGGUGUUUCACGUUAUCAUCAUCAUUUUGGGCCUGGCGAACCUGAUUGCUCAGUUUUUCAUGUGAAAACUCUCUUCUCAAGAUUUCUCGUGGUAUUCUGAACCUUGGCAACGGUUCUGCAUAAAAGAACUUGAAAAUGCUGUCAUUGCUGUAAUUCUAAGUGUUCUUCUAAGAUAAUUGAAAGCGAGGGAAAUGAUGGUCUCUCAUAAGUAUUUUUGUACUCGUGCUGGGAGGGCGUAAGUAUUAAGGAUGGUUCUUCUCAGUGACCCUCAUUCCCAUGUAUCCAAGUAGACAUGUGGGAGGGAUCAUACUGAUAUUUAUGUUAAGUUAGGUGGGUGUGUUUCACCCACAGCAAGGAAUCUCAGGGGUCUUGGGUCAGGGCUGUUGCCAGACCCUGUGUGUGCUUCCAUGUGGGCUCUUCCACCUUCUUACUUGCUGGGCCAUUUCCCCAGUUUGCCCAAAGCUCAACUGUCUCCAACAGUAAAACCAAAUACCUCAUUUUAAAAGAAGUUUCCAUGGCAUCAUUAUUAAUGGGAUGAAUUCCUAACUCAACACUUAACCUGAAGAACAAAAAACUUUAAAUAGUGUCAGUCCGUCAGAAGCUAUGUGUCAGCUAGGGCCAGUGAGGUGGCUGGUGUGUCCGGGAGCACCUUGAUGGUAGGCUGAGAGGGUCUAGGGGUUAAGGUCAUCCCCAGUUUGCCUCUUGGGGGGAUGGGCUGUUUGUUGGGUUUAGGGUUUUUUGUUUUGUUUUUUUUCCUUGAGAAAGCCUUUCUGUAUGUAUCCCUGGCUGUCCUGAAACUUGCUCUUAGGACCAGUCUGGUUAUGGCCAGUUUGAAACCAGCCUGGUCUAUAUAAAGCCUUGUAUCAAGACACUAAAAGAGAAGAGAGAAAACCAAAAGAAAUUAGGUGUCAGAUCAACUUGUAGAGUCCAUUGCUAUCUGACUCUUAAUUCAAAUCCAGCCCCAAUGGCUUAGGUUGAGGUUACAAUUCCCAAGCCCAGAUCUCACACCUGAACAAAAGCAGUUGUCCUCGAUUCUUGCCCUUGAGAACUGCAUGGACUGUCAUGAAGCCCAAUGGAAGAAGCACAAGUGGAGAUGGGCAUGUGAGGCUCUUCAAAAGGGAAAGGAAUCUGCCCAGUGUGCCCGAGUCAUCCUGGUUCAGGUGUGGCCUCCAGGAGCCAACACCCUCUACCUGCUUCUAGAGCAGAAAGAGAAGAGUUAGGUCUCACAAGAAAAGCUUCUGACAAGAUGACUGAGAAAUGCAGAUUCUUAGACUUAACACUCUUGCCAUCUUCCUUCUGAACAAAAAGCUAAACCAGAAUCCAGAUCUGUCUAUCUCUUGUGUAAGAGGAUCUGUGGUCUACCCACAACUACAAGCAUUUAGGUUUCUCUAAUUUUGACUAAACUCUUUUAAACGCAUCAUAAUUCCACUUCCCAGGACAGUGUCAUGUUCUAAAAAAAAAAAAAAAAAAAAAAGUAAGAUGGUUUUGUGAAUCUCGUAAGCAGCCGCAGAUUCAGACCAGCUUUAAUUUCUUCUAGUAUAACUUUACAUCCUAGUAGAGCAUGGGUCUAUGUUUAUAAGGAUCUGUAGUUUCUAACACUUUCUAAAGUCUCAUUAUGAAAACCGUCAAGCAAAUGCACAAAUAGAAUAAUAUGGAAAACUGCUGUGCACCCGCCCUGGGUUUAGUAAUUGUAGGGUUAGCUGGAUUAGCUUCACCUGCUUCCUCCCGAGGUUUCUUUUCUCCCGACAUCUUUAAAAACCAGUCUCAGACGUUAUGUCAUUUCACUUCUACAGACCUUCAUAGUCAGCUAAUAGCCCAGACUUUGAACCUAGUUACAUUUACCAUGGAGCUAGUCUCCAAAGCUCUGGCUCACAGAAACGCCCGUGGCCACUGGGCUGCAUGGGAGCCCGUGCUCGAGGAACUCUGGAACUUCAUGACUGCACACUCGCCUUCCGUUAGAGACGUCUGAGUCAGAGCCAGGUGAUGUAAGAAAUGUCCCUGACUUGUUCUCGCUAUGUUCUUAGUAGUUUCUUUUGUCUUUGAGGACUUGAGAGACAUUUCCACUCCUUUUUUUUUUUUUUUUUUCUUACCAAAGACGUUCUUGGAUGCUUUAACAAUCAAGGAUAAUUGGCUGUGGUUUUGCCCAUUUCAUAGAUAAAAGAUAAAAGGUAACCAACCGGCAAAGGAUGCUACCCUCCAGCCGAAAAAGUAAUACGGAUUCAUGCUUUUGUUGUCUUAAGGACACUGAACAAUUUAGACCUCUUCCUGAUGUCCUGUUGGACAAGCCAAAUGACUUUGUCUCCUUCCACUUUUGUCCUUGUUUUCCCCAUGAGCCUCCUUUGGCCUUGCCACAGAGUCAGAGAACUCUGCGCACGAGUGUGUGUCCUGGCUCGUAUGAGAAUGGAGGGGGUAGGAACCCAUGUGCAGCCAUCUUACCCUUUCUUUCUCUCUCUGCUCUCAUCUCUGAACUUUCUCACUCCGCCACAUUCACCUUAUCACUCUGCUGCUACGGCCGGCCUUCAGCCUGAGCUUCUUUAACUUAAACACACCUGAGGACACUCAAAGUUAAAAUGAGCUGUUUAGGGAGAGAUCUUCCUUAGAAAGCCUGUGAGUGAACUUGAGUUGUGCUAAUAUUAAAGCUAGAAAGGGAAAAAGUAGAGGUAAGCUUUAUACCUGUGGGCAUGGAUGGUUGUGCCAAGUCAUUGCCAUCAGCACACUCCAGAAAUGUGCUUGGAAGGAGGACUACGUCAUUGCAGCCCCUGGAAGAGGCUGUUUUAAAGGGAAAUGCUUCGUCUACAUUAAAUGUGUCUCAGAAGUGCAGUUCCACUACUCACUGUAGCUGUGGGCUAGUCCUCUGCUUCUACUUGAAACUUACCAAGGAAAUGUUUGAUGUGUGUUUUUAAUUAUCACUCCCUUAAGUGUUCUGUUUCAAUAACUGAAUAGUCAGCAAUGCACAUGCCUCUGGAGGAGUUAAAGGCAGCACGCAUGUCCUCGAGGAGCACCUUGAGAGCAGCAUCGAAUCCUUGGGGGUGGGCGGCGUGGCAGAGGGGGAGGGGCUGCUCAGAGGCAAGGGACUCGUUUCCAUGUCCCCGCUAUUCCCCCAGACCGCACUCCCCGUGCUCGCUAUUAUGAUAUGUAGUAGAGAUAUGUUACAUGUAUUUGCUUCUGUGGGUUUUGCAGAUCCCCUCUAAAGCGCGUUUUGUGACAUUCAGCUGCUCCGGGCUGUUCUUCUUUCUUCUUGAUGAUCCCUGCAGUAUUGAUUUCCUGUGGCUCUUGGACAGAAAGCAUAAUUGCUUAAUGUGGGAGGUAAUUAGUAAUACACUGGGUGCUGCAGACAUUUAUAAAGUUUCCAAAUUUUUCAUUUAAGUAUGAAUAUUCAAAAUGUCAAAUGUUUACAUUCAUUGAUGUCACGGUGUUUGGUUUUGUUUUCUUUCUGUUUUUGUGAUAAAAUACUCUGACCAAAAGCAAGAGUCUACUUUGACUUACACUCCAGAGAGGGAGCUAUAAUGCCCAGGAAGGCUUGGAAACAGGCUCCAAAGCAGGGCUGGCCAAUCACGUUGCAUCUGCAUCUAGGAGAUCAAGAGUACAGUGUCCAGCUUGGUGAGUCUAUAAACUCACUGCCAGCUCCGCCCCCCGUGACGUACUUCCUCCAGUAGCACUGUUUCCUGAGAGCUCCAGAUCCUCCCCAAACCAGCUGUGGCGUGUGUUCAGCCGCACACUCAGAGUUCCUCACUGAAACCCCCACAGUUGGUAGCAGCAGGGAGUGUUAUACUGCACGUUUUCCUGACAUGGUAUUGAUGGGUUGCUUUUUAGAAGUUGGUGGCGAUUUGGAUUUUGUGUCUCACUCAACUUCACACCAGCUUGAAUGCCCCCAAACAAAUCCAAGUCAGGUUGGCGUGUAACAAGGGCAUGCGACCAGUCUGUGAUGCAAAGUGAACUGACCCGGCUGGCCCCACUCGAAGUCUGGCAAUCACUUAAGGUUGUAUAAACAGCUCUAAUGGGAACCUCAGCGUGCAAACAGAAUUCUCUGAGAUGUUAUUUGUCUUUUUAUAGGAAAAAAAAAGAGAAAUCAGAAUUAUUUUGAAGAAAAAUAUCUCUGGGAUUUUGCUAGUGGACUUUGGCGAGGAAAUCUUGCCUCCUAACACUGGCGCUGGCGGAAGCGGCUGAGUCCCAUCCUUUGCAGGACUGAAUUUCUUAAGUGACUGUGGCUGUGUCCCAUGUCAGGCUGUCAGGGGCCUUCUUGAAUGUCCUGAUCUUCUGGAAAGGUAUAUGUCACGUUAACGGGGACCUAAGGAGCCCAUCCCCAUCAGCCAGUGUGUGCUCUCCCUCUAAGAACAUUUUUCGUGGCUGUGGCACGUUAGAUAAGCGUUGCCCAGUUUCUGGCCAAAAGCCCUGGAAAAGUCAUAACUUUCCAGAGCCUUCAGCGCUAAUAAAGAACACUAAUUUUCUGGCUUCUUUAAGUAAAAUUACUCUUUUCCCCACCGAAUAUCAUUUUUCUUCUUGAUUUCCCAACUGUUCUGAAAAGGUAAAGUAAGACUGUUUUAAAAGUUUAAGAUGACACGGUGUUUAUCACAGACUCUGCCUUGCGGUUCCCAAGCAGGGAUGAGCUGCGCUGUUCUGACACCUCCCCACCCCCACUCAGUCCCCAUCAGUCCAGUAAUAUUCAGUCAUAGCAGGCCUCAGGAUCCGAUUGUUGGAUUAAGUAGUCGAGAUUCCACUUAAAUAGAAAGUAUUAGAUGCUAUUCUAUUAUCUAGGAUUUUCUUACAUACUCCUCCCCCAAAGUAAUGUCGGGCUAGAGGUGUAGCUGAGGGGUACAGCAUUUGCCUCAGAAGUAUGAGGUCCCAGAUUUAAUCCCCAGUAUUCCCUGGGCGGGGGGGGGGUGGGGGUGGGGUGAGGAAGAGUCAGUUAGGUUCCAGAUUGAUCAUUCAGUACCUAAGAACCUACCGGAUGCCUGACCUUGUGUUAAGCGCUUAGCACUGUGGUGAACAGGCAAGGUGUGGCCCCGGUGGAGGAGCAUCCUUUGUCCACCCUUGUGACCCAGCAACUGAGUCACCUUCCUUAUGUGCCACGGAGAUGCCAGGCUCCUGCCCACUUGGUGCUCUGUCUCCGACGAGCUGAGUGUGGACGCCAAAUGUGCUAAGCGGGACUUCCUGGAGGGAGUUGUGGUUUUCAGUGUAAAACGCCUCCAUGUUCCAAGUUAACUGUGGCAUUUAAUUAUUUGUAUAAAUACAGGACAGGCUUCCAGGUGAACCACUACAUCGUUGCUUUUAUUCUUUCUAUAAUAAAGAGAUGUCUAAGAUAAAUCAUGGCAAAGAAGACUUAUAGGAAUAUGUGUUCUCAUACCUUCUAAUAGAGAACUAGCUUUUAAGAUAAAUACCUUUGAAUACAUUAUCACUAAGACUCUUGCAGGCUCUCCUGGCUUUGAACCCAUUAUGUAGUCAGCGAUGGCCCUGAGCUUUGCAUCUCUUUCCUUCACCUCCCAGAGCCAGGAGCACAGGGAGGGCUCCACCAGGCCCCACUGAGGACCUUUGGUUAGAAGGACAGGUCCAGGUUUCAUGCUGGCUGUCAUCUACACAGUUUGGUGUUACCCCUUUAAGGAAAAACACAGACUCUGGAGCCUCCGAUAGGAAGAAGCGCAUACAGAUGGGAAGCCGGAUUCGGCUGUGUUAGCUUGAAGAGUAGAUCAGCCACAGGCCGUUUGGGACAGCCAGGAAGUGUAAGAAACCGGAGGAAGAGUAGUGGGCACCAGGCCUGAGUUUCUCUGUGACCUGAGUUUCUCUGGACCUACUUUUACCAGACCUGAGCUUUUAUUUCUGGAAAGGCUAGAUUACGUGCCAAUCUAGUAAUGGUUAAUUUGGGAUCCGAAUAGGGUAUCUUUCUUUUUCAGGUUGGAGCAUUCGUGCCUGGGCAUGAGUCUUACAAGCUAUUACUGGUUUUUUUUUUUUUAAUUAUUUGUUUUGUUGUAUUGUUUUGAGAAAGAGCCUUGAUUGUGUACUCCUGUCUGGCCUCAAAUUUGUGGUGCUCGUCCUGCCUGUCUCCAGAGAGCUGGGAUGGCAGGUCUGUGCCACCACACCUAGGUUUUGGUUUUUUGGUUUUUGUUUUGUUUUUUUUAAUUUUUUCAGAAAUUACUAAUUUGCAAAUAGUGGUUUCCCCCUUAUCUGAGGGAUGAGAAACUUACAGGGGCCCUUGGUGAAGGAAAACAACUUCUAAGGCCUCAUUUUAGUAAGGUAACAUCUAUUUAUGUUCUGUGUAUACCAGUAAAAAAAUGUUUCUAUUAAAGAUACACUUCAAAGGAUUACCCACUUUACAGAAUAAAUAGGAAAUGUAUGUCAUUCUUUGAAGAGAGGAAACUAAAAUUUGAUUCAAAUAAAUAAUCCUACUCGUCAGUGCCAGACGUACUCGGAGCCCAGGCAGUGCUGGAGACGUGGACUGAUGGUCCUCGCUUUGGAAACUGAAGAGCAUCGUUUUUCCCAGUACUACUAGAACUCAGCUUCGCCUGAGACUGACUGUGCCUCUCCCGGUGAAAUCCGUGCCGCCACAGUGGAAAAGUGGGCAUGGGCUUUGAAACAGAGAACUGCAAAUUAGAAGACAGCUCAAGAACAAACAAACGGCCACAGCAUGACCCAGAUAGAUGUGAGAAACACGUUCCGUGAGCGCAGGCAGGUGUACAAAACACACACCAUCCCGUGCUUCUCUUCAGGUGACCUGUCGGGAGCGGCACGUGUGUAAAACCGGGCAGUGGAAAGCAGUUGUUUCUAGGGUGGGCAUGGGGCAAAGUUUACCCAUAAAUAACCAUGGGAGACUGCCUAGAGACGCAGGACCAAGGGUUGUAAUAUUAGUUACACACUGGACUGUUACCCAAGGCCUGAUAGCUGGGAUGCGGACACACUCAUCUCUUUCCGCUUUAAUAAUAACUUUACAAGGACAUAGCAAAUGCCAGAAAAAAUAUGUGUAAGGUCAAAACUAAAUGCGUGAAGUUUGAAACCUUUGUUUAGACAUAUGCAUGGGAAGGGAGCUUGGAGCUUAACAAAUAUGAACACUCAUUACCUCUAGCUGUACCUUCUAUUGUUGCGUUUACUCAUAUCAUCUAAAAUGUUGAAAUGUGUUGUUUUGUGAAGUAAAUGUAAUAAAUGCUUUUUCUUUAAAAAAUA